UGUCUCAAAGAUUAAGCCAUGCAUGUCUAAGUAUAAGCAAUUAUACCGUGAAACUGCGAAUGGCUCAUUAAAUCAGUUAUCGUUUAUUUGAUAGUACCUUACUACUUGGAUAACCGUGGUAAUUCUAGAGCUAAUACAUGCUGAAAACCCUGACUUCGGAAAGGGUGUAUUUAUUAGAUAAAAAACCAAUGCCCUUUGGGCUCUUUGGUGAUUCAUGAUAACUUAACGGAUCGCAUGGCCUUGCGCCGGCGACGGUUCAUUCAAAUUUCUGCCCUAUCAACUUUCGAUGGUAAGGUAUUGGCUUACCAUGGUUUCAACGGGUAACGGGGAAUUAGGGUUCGAUUCCGGAGAGGGAGCCUGAGAAACGGCUACCACAUCCAAGGAAGGCAGCAGGCGCGCAAAUUACCCAAUCCCGACACGGGGAGGUAGUGACAAUAAAUACUGAUACAGGGCUCUUUUGGGUCUUGUAAUCGGAAUGAGUACAAUUUAAACCUCUUAACGAGGAACAAUUGGAGGGCAAGUCUGG
rnacentral:rRNA from 1 species